rnacentral:rRNA from 1 species
AUGAACGCUGGCGGCGUGCCUAAUACAUGCAAGUCGAGCGAACGGACGAGAAGCUUGCUUCUCUGAUGUUAGCGGCGGACGGGUGAGUAACACGUGGAUAACCUACCUAUAAGACUGGGAUAACUUCGGGAAACCGGAGCUAAUACCGGAUAAUAUUUUGAACCGCAUGGUUCAAAAGUGAAAGACGGUCUUGCUGUCACUUAUAGAUGGAUCCGCGCUGCAUUAGCUAGUUGGUAAGGUAACGGCUUACCAAGGCAACGAUGCAUAGCCGACCUGUGAGGGUGAUCGGCCACACUGGAACUGAGACACGGUCCAGACUCCUACGGGAGGCAGCAGUAGGGAAUCUUCCGCAAUGGGCGAAAGCCUGACGGAGCAACGCCGCGUGAGUGAUGAAGGUCUUCGGAUCGUAAAACUCUGUUAUUAGGGAAGAACAUAUGUGUAAGUAACUAUGCACAUCUUGACGGUACCUAAUCAGAAAGCCACGGCUAACUACGUG